CAGUCGCCGCGGGAAUACGAAGGGGGCUAGCGUUGUUCGGAUUUACUGGGCGUAAAGGGCGCGUAGGCGGGCUGAUCAGUCAGGGGUGAAAUCCCAAGGCUCAGCCUUGGAACUGCCUUUGAUACUGUCGGUCUUGAGUUCGGGAGAGGUAAGUGGAACUGCGAGCGUAGAGGUGAAAUUCGUAGAUAUUCGCAAGAACACCAGUGGCGAAGGCGGCUUACUGGCUCGAAACUGACGCUGAGGCGCGAAAGCGUGGGGAGCAAACAGGAUUAGAUACCCGCGUAGUCCCUGUCUCUUAUAC
rnacentral:rRNA from 1 species